CCCCUAGAUGUUCUGGGCCGCACGCGCGCUACACUGAACAGUUCAACAAGUCUUAACCUUGGCCGAUAGGUCUGGGUAAUCUUUGAACGCUGUUCGUGAUUGGGAUAGACCUUUGCAAUUAUGGGUCUUCAACGAGGAAUUCCUAGUAAACGCAAGUCAUCAGCUUGCAUUGAUUACGUCCCUGCCCUUUGUACACACCGCCCGUCGUACCUACCGAUUGAAUGGUCCGGUGAAAUCUCGGGACGGCGGCUUGGUCGCUUGCGUCCGACUGCUGAAACUUGAUUAAACCAUNUNAUUUAUNGGAAGGUGAANUCGUANCA
rnacentral:rRNA from 1 species